rnacentral:misc_RNA from 1 species
GAUGAAGAACGUAGCGAAAUGCGAUAAGUAGUGUGAAUUGCAGACUUUAGUGAAUCAUCGAAUCUUUGAACGCACAUUGCGCCCCUUGGUAUUCCAUUGGGCAUGCCUGUUCGAGCGUCAUUUACACCCUCAAGCUCACGCUUGGUGUUGGGCGUCUGUCCGCGCUUUCGAGCGUGGACUCGCCCCAAAUCCAUUGGCAGCGGCUUCGCCGGCUUCUCGCGCAGCACUUUGCGUUCAAGAAGGUCUUCGGCGGGCUCGCAUCCAUCAAGUCACCCCUCAUUUUGACCUCGAAUCAGGUAGGGAUACCCGCUGAACUUAAGCAUAUCAAUAAGCGGAGGA